rnacentral:tRNA from 1 species
GGGCCUAUAGCUCAGUUGGUUAGAGCAGAGGACUCAUAGCGAAAGUUGUGCCUUGCACGUGGAAACUGUGUAAGGGAUGGUGUCAAAUUCGGAGAAACCUAAAGACGUUUAAACGAAUUAGUGUAUUUGCUACUAAGUACACAAAUCGUUUUAAACGAAUAUGGCAACGCCGAGCGAAGCUUCAACAUGAAAGUGUUGUUGAACGUGUAGAGACUAGACGGCACCCAUCUAAGUCGAGCAAUCGAUAUGAUGAAGGCAUAGUCCAGGGAGUUAGGAAACUAACACAAACCGGAAUCCUUUGGUCCCAGGUUCAAGUCCUGGUGGGCCCACCA